rnacentral:rRNA from 1 species
GGUCCAGACUCCUACGGGAGGCAGCAGUGAGGAAUAUUGGUCAAUGGGCGCGAGCCUGAACCAGCCAAGUCGCGUGAGGGAUGACGGCCCUACGGGUUGUAAACCUCUUUUGUCGGGGAGCAAAUUCCGUUACGUGUAACGGAGUCGAGAGUACCCGAAGAAAAAGCAUCGGCUAACUCCGUGCCAGCAGCCGCGGUCAUACGUAGGAUCCGAGCAUUAUCCGGAGUGACUGGGUGUAAAGAGUUGCGUAGGUGGCAUAAUAAGUAGCUAGUGAAAUCUGGUGGCUCAACCAUUCAGACUAUUAGCUAAACUGUUAAGCUCGAGACCGUUAGGGGUAACUGGAAUUUCUAGUGUAGGAGUGAAAUCCGUAGAUAUUAGAAGGAACACCAAUAGCGUAGGCAGGUUGCUGGGACGGUUCUGACACUAAGGCACGAAAGCGUAGGGAGCAAACGGGAUUAGAUACCCCGGUA